GAUGAACGCUGGCGGCGUGCCUAAUACAUGCAAGUCGAGCGAAUGGAUUAAGAGCUUGCUCUUAUGAAGUUAGCGGCGGACGGGUGAGUAACACGUGGGUAACCUGCCCAUAAGACUGGGAUAACUCCGGGAAACCGGGGCUAAUACCGGAUAACACUUUGAACCGCAUGGUUCGAAAUUGAAAGGCGGCUUCGGCUGUCACUUAUGGAUGGACCCGCGUCGCAUUAGCUAGUUGGUGAGGUAACGGCUCACCAAGGCAACGAUGCGUAGCCGACCUGAGAGGGGGAUCGGCCACACGGGGACUGAGACACGGCCCAGACUCCUACGGGAGGUAGCAGUAGGGAAUCUUCCGCAAUGGACGAAAGUCUGACGGAGCAACGCCGCGUGAGUGAUGAAGGCUUUCGGGUCGUAAAACUCUGUUGUUAGGGAAGAACAAGUGCUAGUUGAAUAAGCUGGCACCUUGACGGUACCUAACCAGAAAGCCACGGCUAACUACGUGCCAGCCGCCGCCGUAA
rnacentral:rRNA from 1 species